rnacentral:rRNA from 1 species
CCAGGAAUCCUGAAGAGAUUUGGGAGUGCCCGAAAGGGAACCUGGACACAGGUGCUGCAUGGCUGUCGUCAGCUCGUGUCGUGAGAUGUUGGGUUAAGUCCCGCAACGAGCGCAACCCUUAUCAUUAAUUGCCAUCAUUUAGUUGGGCACUUUAAUGACACUGCCGGUGACAAACCGGAGGAAGGUGGGGAUGACGUCAAGUCCUCAUGGCCCUUAUGGGUAGGGCUUCACACGUAAUACAAUGGUCGGUACAGAGGGUUGCCAAGCCGCGAGGCGGAGCUAAUCUCAGAAAGCCGAUCGUAGUCCGGAUUGCAGUCUGCAACUCGACUGCAUGAAGUCGGAAUCGCUAGUAAUCGCGGAUCAGCAUGUCGCGGUGAAUACGU